UACGUUCCCGGACCUUGCACACACCGCCCGUCAAGCCAUGGAUGCUGGGUGUACCUAAAGUCGGUAACCGCAAGGAGCCGCCUAGGGUAAAACUAGUGACUGGGGCU
rnacentral:rRNA from 1 species